GAACAGAAUCGGGGCACCUCCACCAUGGCCUGGAUGCCCCUCCUCCUCAGCCUCUUGGCUCACUGGACAGGCUCUGUGGCCUCCUACGAACUGACUCAGUCACCCUCAGUGUCGGUGGCACUGAGACAGGCGGCCAAGAUCACCUGUGGCGGGGACAACAUUGCAAGUAAAUAUGCUCACUGGUACCAGCAGAAGCCAGGCCAGUCCCCUGUGCUGGUCAUCUACAAAGAUAGCAACCGGCCCUCAGGGAUCCCUGAGCGGUUCUCAGGCUCCAACUCCGGGAACACGGCCACCCUGACCGUCAGCGGGGCCCAGGCCGAGGACGAGGCCGACUACUACUGUCAGGUGUGGGACAGCAGUGCUAAUGCUCACAGUGACAGAGGCAGAUGGGGAAGUGGGACACAAACCUCCCAGCCUGGACUGGUGCUCACCCCAGUCUCCUUUGAGCAGUGGGAAGUCAGGCUGAGGCCCGGAACUUCUCCUGGACACACGGUCCUCCUGUUGGACCCCAGGACCAGAGCCCCCAAAACUACCGUCUGA